rnacentral:rRNA from 1 species
AGAGUUUGAUCAUGGCUCAGAUUGAACGCUGGCGGCAUGCCUUACACAUGCAAGUCGAACGGCAGCACGGGUGCUUGCACCUGGUGGCGAGUGGCGAACGGGUGAGUAAUACAUCGGAACAUGCCCAGUCGUGGGGGAUAGCUCGGCGAAAGCCGGAUUAAUACCGCAUACGUCCUGAGGGAGAAAGCGGGGGAUCUUCGGACCUCGCGCGAUUGGAGUGGCCGAUGUCGGAUUAGCUAGUUGGUGAGGUAAAGGCUUACCAAGGCGACGAUCCGUAGCUGGUCUGAGAGGAUGAUCAGCCACACUGGAACUGAGACACGGUCCAGACUCCUACGGGAGGCAGCAGUGGGGAAUUUUGGACAAUGGGGGCAACCCUGAUCCAGCCAUGCCGCGUGAGUGAAGAAGGCCUUCGGGUUGUAAAGCUCUUUCGGCCGGGAAGAAAUCGCACGCUAUAACAUAGCGUGUGGAUGACGGUACCGGACUAAGAAGCACCGGCUAACUACGUGCCAGCAGCCGCGGUAAUACGUAGGGUGCGAGCGUUAAUCGGAAUUACUGGGCGUAAAGCGUGCGCAGGCGGUUUUGUAAGACAGGUGUGAAAUCCCCGGGCUUAACCUGGGAACUGCGCU